GACGAACGCUGGCGGCGCGCUUAACACAUGCAAGUCGAACGGAAAGGCCUGCUUUCCCUUGUGGAUUGCGGGUACUCGAGUGGCGAACGGGUGAGUAACACGUGAGUGAUCUGCCCCCAACUUGGGUAUAAGCCUGGGAAACUGGGUCUAAUUCCCGAUAGGACUGCAGGGUGGUGCCUGUGGUGGAAAACGAUUUUCUAGUGGUUGGGGAUGAGCUCGCGGCCUAUCAGCUUGUUGGUGGGGUAAUGGCCUACCAAGGCGGCGACGGGUAGCCGGCCUGAGAGGGUGGACGGCCACAUUGGGACUGAGAUACGGCCCAGACUCCUACGGGAGGCAGCAGUGGGGAAUAUUGCACAAUGGGCGGAAGCCUGAUGCAGCGACGCCGCGUGGGGGGUGACGGCCUUCGGGUUGUAAACUCCUUUCGACCGCGAGGAAGCCGCCUGGUUGGAAGGGUGGUGACGGUAGUGGUAGAAGAAGCACCGGCUAACUACGUG
rnacentral:rRNA from 1 species